UUAAGCGACUAAGCGUACACGGUGGAUGCCCUGGCAGUCAGAGGCGAUGAAGGACGUGCUAAUCUGCGAAAAGCGUCGGUAAGGUGAUAUGAACCGUUAUAGCCGGCGAUGUCCGAAUGGGGAAACCCAGUGUGAUUCGUCACACUAUCGUUAACUGAAUACAUAGGUUAACGAGGCGAACCGGGGGAACUGAAACAUCUAAGUACCCCGAGGAAAAGAAAUCAACCGAGAUUCCCCCAGUAGCGGCGAGCGAACGGGGAGCAGCCCAGAGUUUGAAUCAGCUUGUGUGUUAGUGGAACGGUCUGGAAAGUCCGACGGUACAGGGUGAUAGUCCCGUACACCAAAAUGCACAGGCUGUGAACUCGAAGAGUAGGGCGGGACACGUGGUAUCCUGUCUGAAUAUGGGGGGACCAUCCUCCAAGGCUAAAUACUCCUGACUGACCGAUAGUGAACCAGUACCGUGAGGGAAAGGCGAAAAGAACCCCGGCGAGGGGAGUGAAAAAGAACCUGAAACCGUGUACGUACAAGCAGUGGGAGCACCUUCGGGUGUGACUGCGUACCUUUUGUAUAAUGGGUCAGCGACUUAUAUUCUGUAGCAAGGUUAACCGUAUAGGGGAGCCGCAGGGAAACCGAGUCUUAACUGGGCGUUAAGUUGCAGGGUAUAGACCCGAAACCCGGUGAUCUAGCCAUGGGCAGGUUGAAGGUUGGGUAACACUAACUGGAGGACCGAACCGACUAAUGUUGAAAAAUUAGCGGAUGACUUGUGGCUGGGGGUGAAAGGCCAAUCAAACCGGGAGAUAGCUGGUUCUCCCCGAAAGCUAUUUAGGUAGCGCCUCGUGAAUUCAUCUUCGGGGGUAGAGCACUGUUUCGGCUAGGGGGUCAUCCCGACUUACCAACCCGAUGCAAACUACGAAUACCGAAGAAUGUUAUCACGGGAGACACACGGCGGGUGCUAACGUCCGUCGUGAAGAGGGAAACAACCCAGACCGCCAGCUAAGGUCCCAAAGUCAUGGUUAAGUGGGAAACGAUGUGGGAAGGCACGGACAGCCAGGAUGUUGGCUUAGAAGCAGCCAUCAUUUAAAGAAAGCGUAAUAGCUCACUGGUCGAGUCGGCCUGCGCGGAAGAUGUAACGGGGCUAAACCAUGCACCGAAGCUGCGGCAGCGACACUAUGUGUUGUUGGGUAGGGGAGCGUUCUGUAAGCCUGCGAAGGUGACCUGUGAGGGUUGCUGGAGGUAUCAGAAGUGCGAAUGCUGACAUAAGUAACGAUAAAGCGGGUGAAAAGCCCGCUCGCCGGAAGACCAAGGGUUCCUGUCCAACGUUAAUCGGGGCAGGGUGAGUCGACCCCUAAGGCGAGGCCGAAAGGCGUAGUCGAUGGGAAACAGGUUAAUAUUCCUGUACUUGGUGUUACUGCGAAGGGGGGACGGAGAAGGCUAUGUUAGCCGGGCGACGGUUGUCCCGGUUUAAGCAUGUAGGCUGGUUAUCCAGGCAAAUCCGGAUAAUCAAGGCUGAGGUGUGAUGACGAGGCACUACGGUGCUGAAGUAACAAAUGCCCUGCUUCCAGGAAAAGCCUCUAAGCAUCAGGUAACAUCAAAUCGUACCCCAAACCGACACAGGUGGUCAGGUAGAGAAUACCAAGGCGCUUGAGAGAACUCGGGUGAAGGAACUAGGCAAAAUGGUGCCGUAACUUCGGGAGAAGGCACGCUGGUGUGUAGGUGAAGUCCCUGCGGAUGGAGCUGAGACCAGUCGAAGAUACCAGCUGGCUGCAACUGUUUAUUAAAAACACAGCACUGUGCAAACACGAAAGUGGACGUAUACGGUGUGACGCCUGCCCGGUGCCGGAAGGUUAAUUGAUGGGGUUAUCCGUAAGGAGAAGCUCUUGAUCGAAGCCCCGGUAAACGGCGGCCGUAACUAUAACGGUCCUAAGGUAGCGAAAUUCCUUGUCGGGUAAGUUCCGACCUGCACGAAUGGCGUAAUGAUGGCCAGGCUGUCUCCACCCGAGACUCAGUGAAAUUGAACUCGCUGUGAAGAUGCAGUGUACCCGCGGCAAGACGGAAAGACCCCGUGAACCUUUACUAUAGCUUGACACUGAACAUUGAGCCUUGAUGUGUAGGAUAGGUGGGAGGCUUUGAAGCGUGGACGCCAGUCUGCGUGGAGCCAACCUUGAAAUACCACCCUUUAAUGUUUGAUGUUCUAACGUUGGCCCCUUACCGGGGUUGCGGACAGUGUCUGGUGGGUAGUUUGACUGGGGCGGUCUCCUCCCAAAGCGUAACGGAGGAGCACGAAGGUUAGCUAAUCCUGGUCGGACAUCAGGAGGUUAGUGCAAUGGCAUAAGCUAGCUUGACUGCGAGCGUGACGGCGCGAGCAGGUGCGAAAGCAGGUCAUAGUGAUCCGGUGGUUCUGAAUGGAAGGGCCAUCGCUCAACGGAUAAAAGGUACUCCGGGGAUAACAGGCUGAUACCGCCCAAGAGUUCAUAUCGACGGCGGUGUUUGGCACCUCGAUGUCGGCUCAUCACAUCCUGGGGCUGAAGUAGGUCCCAAGGGUAUGGCUGUUCGCCAUUUAAAGUGGUACGCGAGCUGGGUUUAGAACGUCGUGAGACAGUUCGGUCCCUAUCUGCCGUGGGCGCUGGAGAAUUGAGGGGGGCUGCUCCUAGUACGAGAGGACCGGAGUGGACGCAUCACUGGUGUUCGGGUUGUCAUGCCAAUGGCACUGCCCGGUAGCUAAAUGCGGAAGAGAUAAGUGCUGAAAGCAUCUAAGCACGAAACUUGCCCCGAGAUGAGUUCUCCCUGAGACUUUAAGUCUCCUGAAGGAACGUUGAAGACGACGACGUUGAUAGGCCGGGUGUGUAAGCGCAGCGAUGCGUUGAGCUAACCGGUACUAAUGAACCGUGAGGCUUAACCUU
rnacentral:rRNA from 1 species